UGCCUGUAAUAUCCUGAUUUUGCUCUUCAGUGGAGUCGUGAACAUAAUUCUCAGUGAAAGACUGAGAAGAACAAAAUGUAAACUGUGUACAGCACAUCACAAAAAUCUUUGUGCUGUGUCUGCUCCUCCUCAACCAUGCGCAUCUGUAUCAGACGAUCAAGAGAGUAUAGAUGUGAACUACACAGUUCUGCAGUUUCCUAUAGAAAACACAAAUCCAGAGAGUUCAGAGAAUGAGGAGAGAGAGGAAAGAGGGAAGAAAACUAUUUAUUCCAGCCUAAAAUGUCAAAUCUCCAACAUCACUGAGGAAGACUGA